GUUAAGUCACCUGCCCAAGGUCACACAGUAGGAUCUGGAUGCCUGGCCUCAGAGUCGGUGCACCUGACCACAACGGGCACUAGUUGAUGACACCAGACCACUGUGUCAACCUACUGUGUCACAGGGCCAGCACCUAGGGCAGUGAGGGUAGCAGCCGCAAGGCCACGCUACACUUCCUGGAAGAGCCAGUAGACAUGUUAACCACGUUCCUCCAGGACACUGUGAUGUGGAGAGUGAAUUACAACACAUCUCACUCAGUAUGACUAGAAUCCCACGGGUUGGGUCCUAUGCACUCUUUUUAAUCCCCAUUUUACUCAUGAGGAAAUCGCAGGUUCAAGUGACUGGAUUUGCCCAGGGUCACUCGGUGGGUAGGUGGCGGAGUAAGAUUUGAACCUAACUCUUCAAUCCCUACGUUGAUUGUUCCUCAGAACAUGCUUUUCCCACGGAUGCCGGGACGGUGCCUCCCUGGUCUGCCUUGAUCAGACUGAGGAAGCUCACGUCUCCCAAAGCGUCUUUCGCACCUCUGCCCUCUUGUUUGAAAUCCCCCUCCCAGCCCUGCCUCCACCAGACCCUGACCCUACGGGGCCUCCUCCACUAGGCAGGGCUCACUGUUGCUUUCCAGCACCUGGCCUGGAGUAGGUGCUCGCAAACUGCCUGUUGAAAGAAGGGAUGGAUUUGUUCCGGGUGAGGAGUUUUUCCCAGAAAACCCCGGUUAAAAUGCAAAUGUGCUGCCUGGCAGAGAUGUCUGGAAUUUGUUUAUUGCUUCCCUCCCAGAGAGGAGGGUUUUGAGGAAUGACUUGAUAGGACUAAAGAGUAAAGGGAGGGGAGGCUCUUGAGUUUAGGGACAUGCCCAGCGUGGGCCCCGGGGAAUUCAGCCAAUCCUGAAAGGAGAAGCAGCAACAUUGGAGCCGUCUCUCGCCUCCCACCCCAAGUUCAUCUAGCAGCCCUGCCCCACCCCCUCGAGCAGGCAGAUUUUCUCCCCGACACUUCUCUAUGCAUAGGUAUGUAUAACACAUUGGAAAAUUGGAUCACACUCUACCUAGAGGUCCGAGGCUUAUCUUCUCCCUUUAAACAUACGGGGCGCCUUUCACUGUCAAUUCACAGAGGUCUGCUGUAAUCUGUUGAAAAUAGUUUCACUGUAUUUCGUCAUAGGACAUAGCAGACAUACCACAAUACACCAAGCCAGUCUCCCACUCAUGAGCAGUAUAGCUGUCUCCAGCUUUUGGCUGUUGCCGGUGCUGCAGUGCACAUUUCUGCACACCCGAGCAGUCUUGUUUUGAACCCACCAACCACUGUGCUUCCUCACCAUGGCUUUUACUUAGGAAAGUACUAAACGGGAGUGCAUUUCUCCUGGGCUGGGGGACUCAGCUCUCCACGCCCAGUUUCAAGCUGCCCUGCAAGCCGGCGCCCCACGGGUUCUGAGCCAACGUCAGUGAGAAUGACCAUGCGUGAGAAUCCGGACCCCACAGAGUCACCAGCCUGGCCGGCCUCUCACCUCCUGUUCCGGGGAACGGAGGCACCUCUGCAUCAUUUUCUGUAAUGCCAAAGGAAAUCCCCAGAUAAGACGGACACCCUCAUGCUUCACAGGAGACACUCCCCCACUCCCACGGAGAUAAACUCAUGAAUGCUUUCUUAAUCACAGCUCAUGAUUCUCUGGGGCCCUCCCGGGGCUGCCAAAACCUCUCUCAGCCCAUUGCUGCUGCUACCGCAGCCAGACACAGCACUUCCUAGAAAAUCAUCAUCCCGUUUACUGUUUAUUCUUG
rnacentral:lncRNA from 1 species